rnacentral:rRNA from 1 species
AUUGAACGCUGGCGGCAGGCCUAACACAUGCAAGUCGAACGAGUGGCAUACGGGUGAGUAAUGUCUGGGAAACUGCCUGAUGGAGGGGGAUAACUACUGGAAACGGUAGCUAAUACCGCAUACCAUCGGAUGUGCCCAGUUGGGAUGAGCUAGUAGGUGGGGUAAAGGCUCACCUAGGCGACGAUCCCUAGCUGUUCUGAGAGGAUGACCAGCCACACUGGAACUGAGACACGGUCAAGACUCCUACGUGAGGCAGCAGUGGGGAAUAUUGGACAAUGGGCGCAAGACUGAUGCAGCCAUGCCGCGUGUAUGAAGAAGGCCUUCGGGUUGUAAAGUACGUUCAGCGGGGAGGCGUUACCCGCAGAAGAAGCACCGGCUAACUCCGUGCCAGCAGCCGCGGUAAUAC